CGACGUCUUUUAAGUUGUUUAGA
rnacentral:siRNA from 1 species